CCUACGGGAGGCAGCAGUGAGGAAUAUUGGUCAAUGGUCGAGAGUCUGAACCAGCCAAGCCGCGUGAAGGAUGACUGCUCUAUGGGUUGUAAACUUCUUUUAUAUGGGAAUAAAAUGUUGCACGUGUGGGAUUUUGUAUGUACCAUAUGAAUAAGGAUCGGCUAACGACGUGCCAGCAGCCGCGGUAAUACGGAGGAUCCGAGCGUUAUCCGGAUUUAUUGGGUUUAAAGGGAGCGUAGUCGGAAGCGGCAAGUCAGCGGUAAAAUUGCGGGGCUAACCCUCGCCGAGCCGUUGAAACUGGUGUUCUGGAGUGGGCGAGAAGUAUGCGGAAUGCGUGGUGUAGCGGUGAAAUGCAUAGAUAUCACGCAGAACUCCGAUUGCGAAGGCAGCAUACCGGCGCCCAACUGACGCUCAUGCACGAAAGCGUGGGUAUCGAACAGGAUUAGAUACCCCAGUAGUC
rnacentral:rRNA from 1 species